UGGGGAAUUUUGGACAAUGGGGGCAACCCUGAUCCAGCCAUGCCGCGUGAGUGAUGAAGGCCUUCGGGUCGUAAAGCUCUGUCGGAGGGAACGAAUGCUCCUGAAGUUAACAGCCUCAGGAGGUGACGGUACCCUCAAAGGAAGCACCGGCUAACUCUGUGCCAGCAGCCGCGGUAAUACAGAGGGUGCAAGCGUUGUUCGGAAUCAUUGGGCGUAAAGGGCGUGUAGGCGGUAUGUUAAGUCAUGUGUGAAAUCCCUCGGCUCAACCGGGGAACGACGCAUGAAACUGGCAAGCUAGAGUACCAAAGAGGGUGGUGGAAUUCCCGGUGUAGCAGUGAAAUGCGUAGAUAUGUCAUAGAACACCGAUUGCGAAGGCAGCUCACAAAACUGUAACUGACGCUGAGGCACGAAAGUGCGGGGAUCAAACAGGAUUAGAUACCCAUGUAGUCCCUGAGCGGGCUGGCAAGGCGCAU
rnacentral:rRNA from 1 species